AGCGAACGCUGGCGGCAGGCCUAACACAUGCAAGUCGAGCGCCCAGCAAUGGGAGCGGCAGACGGGAGAGUAACACGUGGGAACGUGCCUUUUGGUUCGGAAUAACUCAGGGAAACUUGAGCUAAUACCGGAUAAGCCCUUACGGGGAAAGAUUUAUUGCCAAAAGAGCGGCCCGCGUCCGAUUAGCUAGUUGGUGAGGUAAUGGCUCACCAAGGCGACGAUCGGUAGCUGGUCGAGAGGAUGACCAGCCUCAUUGGGACUGAGACACGGCCCAAACUCCUACGGGAGGCAGCAGGUGGGGAAUAUUGGACAAUGGGCGCAAGCCUGAUCCAGCCAUGCCGCGUGAGUGAUGAAGG
rnacentral:rRNA from 1 species